GUCAAUUUUUAACAAUUUUCAUAAAAUUUGUAAAUUUUUACUAACAUUUUCCACUGAAACUAAUGGGCCAAGUUCAUUAUAGAUAGAGAUAAUUUUAAGCAGCAAGAAUGUUCAGUAAAGUAAGAUGUACAAACACAUCACCAUCACCAAAACACAAUUUUGUCAUGAAUCCAUCUGCUUCCUUUAAUAUUCACCUAGACCAAGGUGAGCGACACAGGCUCUUUAGAGCCUCUAGUUUAU
rnacentral:lncRNA from 1 species